rnacentral:rRNA from 1 species
GCAGAGCAUCCCUACGGGAGGCAGCAGUGGGGAAUAUUGCACAAUGGGGCGCAAGCCUGAUGGCAGCCAUGCCGCGUGUAUGAAGAAGGCCUUCGGGUUGUAAAAGUACUUUCGAGCAGUGAGGAAGGUGGGUAUGGUUAAUAGCAUAUUCAUUUGACGUUAGCUGCAGAAGAAGCACCGGCUAACUCCGUGCCAGCAGCCGCGGUAAUACGGAGGGUGCGAGCGUUAAUCGGAAUUACUGGGCGUAAAAGCGCAUGCAGGUGGUUUGUUAAGUCAGAUGUGAAAGCCCGGGGCUCAACCUCGGAAUUGCAUUUUGAAAACUGGCAAACUAGAGUACUGUAGAGGGGGUAGGAAUUUCAGGUGUAGCGGUGAAAUGCGUAGAGAUCUGAAGGAAUACCGGUGGCGAAGGCGGCCCCCUGGACAGAUACUGACACUCAGAUGCGAAAGCGUGGGGAGCAAACAGGAUUAGAUACCCUGGUAG